GGGGGGAGGCCGGAUCCUGGGCUGUGUCCCGGGCGCCCAGUGCUCCCGGGCCUGCGCUCUUGGAUUCGCCUCCCGGAGGCGCAGCCCCCU
rnacentral:pre_miRNA from 1 species